CUCCGUACCAGGCGGCACGGGACAGGUGGUAGGCAUAGAGGCGCUCUGUGGGUGACAGCAGGCGGAAGGCCUCACGGCAGUCCAGGCUAGACACGCCGAUGUCAUUGGGCAGGAUGUACUGGGUGUCCGCCAUGGGCCCUGCUGAGAACCAUCACUGUCAUCACAGCUGUUGUUUACCCCAUACCAAUUGCAUACCUGGCUCUGAACUCUUAUGAUCUCAUUUAAUCCUCCCAAAAGCCCAUGUGGAAGGGAAUACUAUUGUACCCAUUCACCAGAUAUGCUAACUGAGGCUUAGAGAAGGUGAGAUGACUCACCCAAGGGGUCACAAAAUACACUGGUGGACCAUAUUUGGUCUGUAGUCCCUAAACCUUAAAGAUUGACUCUAAGGUCAGGCAUGGUGGCUCACACCUGUAAUCCCAGCAC
rnacentral:lncRNA from 10 species